AUUUGAUGUGAAUAUGUUUUGAAUGUUGCUAAAUUUUAGCCCCAAGAUUUAGAGUGUAUUACGUUCGGCCAAAUUGCCAAACCCCCGACGUCAGUUUGACAGCUUCAGUACGCAACCUCCAUACCACCACUCACACAUAUCGCACGAAAGGAAAAAACGAACUUCCGCCAGGGAAAGAAAAGUCAGAGUUGCUCGUUAAACGUGGUGCAUGACGGUGAUCGCGAGAGCCGUCGGAAAGAAAAUUCAAGGUGUAUCCACCACGAAAUUCACUUCGUGCACAAGUUUGCGGCUGGUUGCGGUAAAGACACUGCACUGUCGCAGAACAAACAGGUGACUACACAGAGUGAAUCACAGCGUCUUUUGGUCGGCGAAAACGGCACGCGCUCGCGUCUCGGAAGAGCGGUUCGCGGUCAUAACAUCGGCAUUCAAAUCCGACAAAAACGCCACGAGACUUCCCCAAACGGAAGGGCCCGGGAAUAGUUCGACCAAAUCAAAAGGUGGGUAAAUCGCAUUUGGGCAGAAAGUGAGGAGUGAAGCUCAUAACCUCAAAAUUUCAGUGACCACCACAGCUACGGCAGAAAGGCGCCGCAUUUGGCUGCUAGCACCAUAGAGAAGUUGCAUCCUCACGAACCGAGAUCAUACUGUAAAGACAGGUCGGCACCCAAAAAAGGAAGAUCCCGCAAAGGUGCGAAAGCUGAACCAUCCGCUUGCAAGACGAAACGAUCCGCUCGGAACGAGGACAAGGAGGAAUUACAAAGGCCCCGAAGGGUGAGUGUUUCCAGCCUGCAAAGUGGAAUAGGAGGAUUCUUAUCAGAUUCCUGCUGAAGAGCAGGGCCUUUUGUAUUCAUCCCUUUCCGAAUCUAGGACGGACGAGCGACCAACAACAUCCGCCGGCAACACCAGGGAAUGCCGAAUCAAUCUCACUGCGUGAGAGCAAGGAACGUCCUUGGAGCGCCGUCAGAGCUCCCGCCCGGCUGCGUCGGAGAUGAUCGACGACUUGCAAUCUAACGAAUGUCUGAACGCUACCCGACCAUUCUUGCCGCACGAAGAGGAGUCGCGAUCCGGACCCGCAUCUACAUUGGCCGAUUCCGAUCAGAGGACCGUCACGAUUGGCGGACACAGGUGUUAAUGUAUGCGGGGUCGCACGAAAUCGAUCCUUUACGACGGAGUCGACGAUAGGCAACAGUGAGGCGGUACUGUGAGUACAGGGGUGUGAGAGAAGAGGGCAAAACGCACUAUCUAGCGUUAAGAUGUUAGGAGUUAGGGCCAGAGGAGAAAAUCCAUUAAUGUAAAGGGCGACUAAAGCAACAAUACAUUUAUAAACAUGAUUUUUGGCGCAUUUAAUUUAUUUGUUGGUGGACAAGCCUGAGCGACGGGAUUUCGUCUCCCCUAUUCGAUAUUGCUAGCGGGACUUCG